UCACUGCUUGCGCAGGCAGUCUCGCUAGAGUCCCCGGCAUUAUCCGCUGGUAACUAGCAAUAGGGGUUGCGCUCGUUGCGGGACUUAACCCAACAACUACGGGGCACUCAAUCCUUUCGGAUUAAUUCUCGGGAUGUCAAACCCAGGUAAGGUUCUUCGUUUAUCAUCGAAUUAAAGAACACGAUCCACCGCUUGUGCGGGUCCCCGUCAAUUCCUUUAUGUUUUAGUCUUGCGACCGUACUCCACAGGCGGGAUACUUAACGCGUUAGCUUCGCUACUGAAGGGGUCGAUACCUCCAACAGCUAGUAUCCAUCGUUUACGGCGUGGACUAC
rnacentral:misc_RNA from 1 species